GAACGCGAAGAACCUUACCAGGUCUUGACAUCCCUCUGACCGCUCUAGAGAUAGAGCUUUCCUUCGGGACAGAGGUGACAGGUGGUGCAUGGUUGUCGUCAGCUCGUGUCGUGAGAUGUUGGGUUAAGUCCCGCAACGAGCGCAACCCCUACUGUUAGUUGCCAUCAUUCAGUUGGGCACUCUAGCGAGACUGCCGGUAAUAAACCGGAGGAAGGUGGGGAUGACGUCAAAUCAUCAUGCCCCUUAUGACCUGGGCUACACACGUGCUACAAUGGCUGGUACAACGAGUCGCAAGCCGGUGACGGCAAGCUAAUCUCUUAAAGCCAGUCUCAGUUCGGAUUGUAGGCUGCAACUCGCCUACAUGAAGUCGGAAUCGCUAGUAAUCGCGGAUCAGCACGCCGCGGUGAAUACGUUCCCGGGUCUUGUACACACC
rnacentral:rRNA from 1 species